rnacentral:rRNA from 1 species
ACGGAAGGCAGCAGUGAGGAAUAUUGGUCAAUGGGCGGAAGCCUGAACCAGCCAAGUCGCGUGAAGGAUGAAGGUUCUAUGGAUUGUAAACUUCUUUUGUUCGAGGGUAAAGUGAGUCACGUGUGGCUUAUUGCAAGUAUCGAGCGAAUAAGCAUCGGCUAACUCCGUGCCAGCAGCCGCGGUAAUACGGAGGAUCCGAGCGUUAUCCGGAUUUAUUGGGUUUAAAGGGUGCGCAGGCGGUCGAUUAAGUCAGUGGUCAAAUCACGGUGCUCAACGCCGUUCCGCCAUUGAUACUGGUUGACUUGAUUCCGGUCGAGGCAGGCGGAAUUCGUAGUGUAGCGGUGAAAUGCAUAGAUAUUACGAAGAACUCCGAUUGCGUAGGCAGCUUACCAGGCCGGCAAUGACGCUCAUGCACGAAAGUGCGGGGAUCGAACAGGAUUAGAUACCCUGGUA